AACCAGCACCUCAAGUGGUCAGGAUGAUUAUUGGGCCUAAAGCAUCCGUAGCUCGUUUUGUAAGUUUUCGGUUAAAUCCAUACGCUCAACGUAUGGGCUGCCGGGAAUACUGCAUAACUAGGAAGUGGGAGAGGUAGACGGUACUCGGUAGGAAGGGGUAAAAUCCUUUGAUCUAUUGAUGACCACCUGUGGCGAAGGCGGUCUACCAGAACACGUUCGACGGUGAGGGAUGAAAGCUGGGGGAGCAAACCGG
rnacentral:rRNA from 1 species